UCUCUAGCCGACUUCUGUUUUCCAGUCCAAAAAACUCUGAAGUUUUCAUUCCCUCUCAGUCUAAAAACUCGAUUAACAACUCAAUCUUUAGACAAAAUCUCGAUUCAUUUUAAUUGAAGAAGAUUUCUCGAUUAAAUUAAGCAAAACAUUUCGUUUUAGAUAUGGGUUUUAGAGUUUUCUAAUGAUGAAGACUUGAUGUUCUCCCUUAACAAAAAAAACUCAGGUAUGAAGGAACAUGAUGAUUUAGCUCAUAGAAAAGUGUAUGUUGCUCAAAAGGGGCUUGUCAAGUAUCUUCUGUGGUUACUGGUAUGAGGGUGAAUGGCUGCAGAACAAUAUGAUUCAAUGCCAAGCGUUUGAUUGUAGGAGCUUCUGUGACACCGAUGUCCAAGUUGGUAUCAAGAACUGGCCAUUCAAUGUUCUAUCUCCCAUGAUUGAGGUCUCAUACAAGGGAGAAGAGAAGCAGUUCGCCGCUGAGGAAAUCUCAUCCAUGGACUGGAUUAAGAUGCGUGAGAUUGCUGAGGCAUACCUUGAUUCUAUAGUUAAGAACUUUUUUGUUACAGUCCCUGCAUACUUCAACGAAUCUCAACGUCAAGCUACAAAGGAUGCUAGGUCGUUGCUGGUCUUAAUGUUAUGGGUAUCAUCAAUGAGCCUACGGCUGCUGCCAUUUCCUGGUACUAGUACUUUUUAAUUUUUCAUGUUUAUUACUGACUAAUACUAGUUUGUUUAUAUGUAUGGACUUUGGAAAAUGAAUUGAGAAUUCAGACUAAUUCAAACUAAUACUAGUUUGUUUAUAUGUAUGGACUUUGCAAAAUGAAUUGAGAAUUCAGAAGAAGAUUACCAUUUCACUAUGCAAAGAUAUCAGGUAAUGAUGGAGGAUUUGAUACUAACUGUAAUAUUAGCUAUAUGUAAUGCUUGCUUUUUCUCAAUGAGUGGAUAUUUAUUACAUGGGUAUGGUUGCUUUUUAUUAUAUUCUUUUUGUUGUUAUAUAAAUAAUAGUAAAAUUGAAGUACUUAACUUAUUAUAAUAAACUGGUUGAUGCUCUUCAGUGCUAUCUUUCCAACUGAGAUACAGACAAUGAAUUAUGAUUUUUUUAUUUUGGUGGAGUUGAUAGUGGUGCCUUUGUGGCAUCUGAGAUUGUACACUCAAUUAACAUUCAUCCUUAGCGAAAGCAUGCCUGCGGCACAAAUACUGAAGAAAAUGUCUAUGAGAAUCAUGUUACUCAGGUGCUCAAUAGGAUAUAAUCCAAGAUAAUUGGCUCUAUGGUGUUGAACACAAUCAUUAUUCACAAUUAAAUAUGGACCUGCUAGGUGUUACAGGCAGAUUAAGAACAAGCCUUACCCAAAGUCAAGGUACUGUCGUGGCAUGAAAAAGAAAGGAGUUGAUGAGUUCCUUUCUGUGUCCAUUUGGUGAGUUCCGUUUCUGUGUCCAUUAGAAUUUAUGAUGUUGGCAACAAGUACAUGACCAAGUCUGCUGGGAAGGAUGCUUUCCAUUUGAGAUUCAGGGUACAUCCUUACUAUAUAUGUCUUGUGUAUCAUCAAUCUCUUGUUCAGUAAUAUCAUCUCUUUAUAUAAA